AGCAUAUCAAUAAGCGGAGGAAAAGAAACCAACAGGGAUUGCCUCAGUAACGGCGAGUGAAGCGGCAACAGCUCAAAUUUGAAAUCUGGCCGCAAGGUCCGAGUUGUAAUUUGCAGAGGAUGCUUUUGGCGAGGUGACUUCCGAGUUCCCUGGAACGGGACGCCAUAGAGGGUGAGAGCCCCGUACGGUCGUGCCACCGAGCCUCUGUAAAGCUCCUUCGACGAGUCGAGUAGUUUGGGAAUGCUGCUCUAAAUGGGAGGUGUACGUCUUCUAAAGCUAAAUACCGGCCAGAGACCGAUAGCGCACAAGUAGAGUGAUCGAAAGAUGAAAAGCACUUUGAAAAGAGGGUUAAAAAGUACGUGAAAUUGUUGAAAGGGAAGCAUUCAUGACCAGACUUGGGCUUGGUUGAACAUCCGGCGUUCUCGCCGGUGCACUCUGCCAGCCCAGGCCAGCAUCAGUUUGCCCCGGGGGAUAAAGGCGGUGGGAAUGUGGCUCCCCACGGGGAGUGUUAUAGCCCGCCGCGCAAUGCCCUGGGGCGGACUGAGGUUCGCGCUCCGGCACGGAUGCUGGCGUAAUGGUCAUCAAUGACCCGUCUUGAAACACGGACCAAGGAGUCGUCUUCGUAUGCGAGUGUUCGGGUGUCAAACCCCUACGCGUAAUGAAAGUGAACGUAGGUGAGAGCUUCGGCGCAUCACCGACCGAUCCUGAUGUUCUCGGAUGGAUUUGAGUAAGAGCAUACGGGGCCGGACCCGAAAGAAGGUGAACUAUGCCUGUGUAGGGUGAAGCCAGAGGAAACUCUGGUGGAGGCUCGCAGCGGUUUCUGACGUGCAAAUCGAUCGUCAAACAUGGGCAUGGGGGCGAAAGACUAAUCGAACCUUUCUAGUAGCUGGGUUUCCGCCGAA
rnacentral:rRNA from 1 species